rnacentral:rRNA from 1 species
GGGGGCAGCGAGCUAACUGCAGUCGAACGGCAGCACAGAGGAGCUUGCUCCUUGGGUGGCGAGUGGCGGACGGGUGAGGAAUACAUCGGAAUCUACUUUUUCGUGGGGGAUAACGUAGGGAAACUUACGCUAAUACCGCAUACGACCUACGGGUGAAAGCAGGGGAUCUUCGGACCUUGCGCGAUUGAAUGAGCCGAUGUCGGAUUAGCUAGUUGGCGGGGUAAAGGCCCACCAAGGCGACAAUCCGUAGCUGGUCUGAGAGGAUGAUCAGCCACACUGGAACUGAGACACGGUCCAGACUCCUACGGGAGGCAGCAGUGGGGAAUAUUGGACAAUGGGCGCAAGCCUGAUCCAGCCAUACCGCGUGGGUGAAGAAGGCCUUCGGGUUGUAAAGCCCUUUUGUUGGGAAAGAAAUCCAGCCGGCUAAUACCUGGUUGGGAUGACGGUACCCAAAGAAUAAGCACCGGCUAACUUCGUGCCAGCAGCCGCGGUAAUACGAAGGGUGCAAGCGUUACUCGGAAUUACUGGGCGUAAAGCGUGCGUAGGUGGUCGUUUAAGUCCGUUGUGAAAGCCCUGGGCUCAACCUGGGAACUGCAGUGGAUACUGGGCGACUAGAGUGUGGUAGAGGGUAGCGGAAUUCCUGGUGUAGCAGUGAAAUGCGUAGAGAUCAGGAGGAACAUCCAUGGCGAAGGCAGCUACCUGGACCAACACUGACACUGAGGCACGAAAGCGUGUGGAGCAAACAGGAUUAGAUACCCUGGUAGUCCACGCCCUAAACGAUGCGAACUGGAUGUUGGGUGCAAUUUGGCACGC